GUUUACCAAUAGAUGCCCAAAGUUUUGCCUUUUCAGGAUUUGUCCUAGCUUUGGCUGACCGUUAAGUACAUAGUACUGGACACCACAAGCCAGCUGAGACAGGCUGAACAACCGGACCCCACACUAGAUCCUUCCAGCUUUUUGCAGUAGAUCCUGCCAAGAUAGUUUCCCAGCUGGCCUGCUUAUUUUUAAUUUUUUGAACAUUUAUUCAUUUAUUUUGUGUGUGUUGGAAGGGUGGGACACACACAUGCCAUAGCACACCUAUAGAGGUCAGAGGGCAAGUUGUGGGGUCAAAUCCAGGUUGUUGGGCUUGGCAGCAAGCUCCUCUACUGACUGAACAUCUUGUAAGUCCUAGCAUGUGCGUGCGUGCGUACAUGUGUGUAUGUGUGCAUGUGUAUAUGUCCAUGUGUGCAUGCUCGUGUGUGUACGUGCAUGUGUGUGAGUAUGUGUGUGAGCAUGUGUGAGCAUGUGUGUGUGUGAAUGCAUUCAAAUGAAAAUGCCCUUAAAGACCAGAAGAAGGUGUCAGAAUCCUUGGAGCUGGAGUUGCAAACAGUUGUGACCCACCCUCAGGUCCUCUACGAGAGUAGUACAUCCUCUUAACCACUGGCUGGCUGCUUCUGUUUUGUUGUUCUUUUUUGAGAGCCAGUUUCCCUGUGAAGCCCAGGCUGUACUGGAACUCACUCUGUAGACCAGGCUGGGCUCGAACUCUGAGAUCAAGUAACAGGUACAGGACGUCAAUGCUGAAGAGAAAGGUCCGGCUAGACAUCAGACUGUAUCCUAAGACAGGCCAGACAAAGCUGGCGUUGGCGAGCACAGAAACGAAGGCCCUCCCAAGUGUGGGCCUUCCAGGCGUGCAUCACCACCACCCGGCCAGACCGGAUGCUUUUAACAGCAGGAUUCUCUGUAGUUGGUUGGUCUGCACUGCAGGCUGUGGUCUACCCCCUUGUCUCUAUGCUCCAAGGUGACCUCACCUUUUGCCGAGUGCAGCUCUUGUGCAGCUCUUGUGCAAUUUUCUCUGCACGUAAAUGUUGUGACACCCGGUGGCGUCUCCACCAUCCAGGAGUCUGUGUUCCCCAAGCAGUUAGUUAAUGGCCCACGCCAUUUCGGGACAAAUUGACCCUCUCUACAUUAAUUUGAAAUGUCACUUCUUAUCAUUUCCUGGGAACUGACCUGUGAGUCUGUUGGUUUUUGUGCUCGCCAACACCAGCUUUGUCUGGCCUGUCUUAGGAUACAGUCUGAUGUCUAGCGGGGCCUUUCUCUUCAGCAUUGACGUCCUGUACCUCUUACUUGAUAGCUGUGUGAACACCAAACUUCACUUUAAAAAGAUAUCAGAGAAGCCUGCCCCUUGGGGUCUGAGACAACUUUUGACCUGUCCCCAGACCCUGUAGAGGCCCAAGUCGUCCAGAGCUGGGCCGUAACCCCAGGAUGACCAUACUACCAAAACAUCACCAUGAGGCUGGAUUUGAAGCUCCAAGGUUCUCGGCCCCACAAAGUUGUGAGGAAGAUAAAAUGUGGGCCUGAGGCACAGCUUGACUGCCACAUGCAGGAGGGCAUGGGCGUGCUCCUUGUGACAAUGAGAGAGAGCUGGAGUCUCAUGGAGGCACAGAAGCAGAGGGCGUGAUGUUGCCCUAUGUUGAGGAAGGGUUCCAGGCCAAGCCCAGACACGGGGCCCAGGGACCACAGGAGCAGUCCACAGAUGUGUAGGAGGGAUCGUGAGGGGACCUCUGGAAGACUUGUGUGACCCGUGUGGUUAUUACAUCCCUUUCAUCCCAAUGCUAGGGAUGAUGAGGCAGGGGGAUUACAAGGUCAAAGCCAGCUUAGGUUGCAUAGAGGGACACUGACUCAAAUAUACAAUUUUAAAAAAAGAAGAAGAAGAAGAAUGAUUGGCCUCCUUUCCAUUCCACAGUGACUGAAAGGUUCCUCCCUUCCCCCCAGGAUGGGAGGGGAUAGAGGGGAGGGAGGGAAAGGGAUGAUGGGAUUCUAAAGGAGCCGACAGCUGUCAAAUAGUAUAAAACCUCGUAUGUUAAUAAUUCUUACAAUUUUGCCAAAGACUUAAUGGCUGGCCUGUCAAGAGCAGUGACAGAAGCUAUUAUGGAAACAAGACAGGAAUAUUUGGGAGGCGGUGUGGACAGCAGUGCCCGGUGCCAGGCCUCCCAGGACCAGAAGGAGGUCAGCCAGGCUUCCUGCCUACCGCCUCAGCAAGGCCAAGGCUGAGCGCUCAGCCGACGGAGCCAGGUCAUUGUGGAUUCAAGUCAUUGACUCUGGAUUGAUCACCUCUGAGGACAUUUUAAUUAACCGUCAAGUCCCAGCGUGGUCCCAUCUUUCCUUCCCCACCCUUUCCACUCUGCAGUCACCAACGUCCUCAACGUGAGCAAACAAACAGCGUUGGUCACAGCACAACAGGGCAGGUGCCCCUGGGUGACAGGCUGGUGAGUGAAACCCACGGACUUUGAAUGGCCAAUCUGGGAACCCAGGAAGUCUCUAAGGAGUCCCUCACUGGCCAUAGACUGAGGUCCGAGGACUAGACCCAGUUCAGGAGCCAAUCGGCUCCAGGAAUUUUAUGAAAGCUCCUGUUUGGAACGCCUCCUUUUCUCACCAGGCCAGGAGGAUGAUAUCAUGGGUAAAAGCGAUCAGCACACAAGCCUGGUGACCUGAGUUCAAUUCCUGGAGUCCAUGUAGAAAGCCAGAUGCGAUGGUGCACAUCUGACAUCCACAGAAGUCCUGGCAUGAGAUGGGAGGUGGAGAUGGGAGAAUCAGCCAGCCUGGACUACACGGCGCAGAGGAGACAGGAAGACAGGCCGUGCCUCAGCACAACGGAGGGCAGGAAUCAACCCGUAACGUCAUUCUCUGACCUCUGCACGUGCGUGUCCUCUGACCAUCCACAUGAUGCUUGCACACCUGUAGUCACAAACACACAAUAAUGAUUCUCCAAGAGAUGGACCAUUUUCUCCAUGUUUCCAGAGAGGGACAGGAGGUGGAGAGAGGCAGAAGUAAGCACACCAGCCCAGAUCAGAACUUCUCCAGCUUGAUUGUGCAUCGGACACCCCUGUGUGCCUGGUUGAAAUACAGAGUUGGAUCCAGCAGGUGUGGGCUGAGAUCCUGGUGCUGUACUGUCCAAAGGUCAUCCCUAGAGUGUCAGGAGCUAAUGUUUUGUCUCAUUUAGCUGCCACAACACGCAAGGAGACGGGUCUUGCUGCCACCAUCCUUGUCUGACAGCAGAAACUGAGGCUCAGAGAUGGCAUAAUGGGAUCAAAGUACUGGCUAAAUGGAAAAAUCAGUACGUGAAGCCAGGGGGUCUUGCUUGAGUCCGUCACCCACACUGGUGCUAUGCCAUCUCCCAAAGCAUUUGCUGAGAAGCCAGGGGCCUGCAGGGAGGCGGGGCUGGGGGUUUGCUCAGGAAGCUGUGUCUUGGAGAACAGACACUGUUAUUAUAACCAGAAUACAGGUGCUGGUUGGUUCUGGAAGUAUCUCCCGCUUUAGUGGAAAAGCUCCAAGCUGAUUUGCCGUGUGAGAUAAAUAGCUAACUGUACUGGCAAAAGGCUAGAGCACCAAGAUGGGGUUGGGGGGAGCCUUCCCUUAGGACAAGAACUGAGAGGACUUGCUUGGGACCCAGGAUUGGGGGAUGACCACACUGGUGCCAUCGAAGAAAAACUGCUAAUGUGGGAAGGCUUGGCUUGGUGUGGUGGCACCCAUCUGUAAGCCCAGCCCUCAGGAGUCAGGGCAGGGGAGUUGCUCUGAGUUCCAGGCCAGUUUGUACUACUGGCCUGCAAAAGAAAACAAAAGAGCUAAUAAAUGUGUGCAUAGCAGUACAUACUAUAAUCUCAAUACUCUGGGAGCCGAAGCAGGAAGAUCAGGAAUUCAAGGCCAUCCUCAGCUAUGUAGCAAGUUCAAGGAUGGCCCAUUCUAUGUCAGACCCUAUCACAAAAGAAAGAGGAAAGAAAAUAGUAAAAUAAAUAAAUGAGAGAAUGUUCA